rnacentral:lncRNA from 1 species
UUAAUUUCCAAAAAUUGUGUGAAGCUUUGAGAGAGGUGGACACCUUUUUCUUGGGGUGCGAUGCUCCAAAAUCCUUCCUUGGUGAGACGCCAAGAUAGGCUGAAGUUGAGAGGCUGUGAUUCCUUCCCUUCUUCACGCCAACCCCUUGAGAUUUAUGCGGAGGUGAGACUCAUCCAUAUCUAUCUUACAGUUAUCUUUCCCUCAUCAAAUCAUCAAGCCAACAUAUCAUCAUAUCAGCCAUCCAUCACAUCUGAAAAUUCUUUCACGGUUUCAUUGCAGUACGCCCAACCAAUCAGCCUUCAACUGUCCAUAAAUCCCUAUAGUUUCACACCCCAAGUCAUCCUAUUCUUCCAUCCAUAAUCACCCUUCAUCACGUCAUCAAAUCCAAAGAGUUCUAAGUAAUUUGGGACUCUUAAUCCCAUCAAACCAAAUGCAAUCAAGGAGUCUUACUUCAACUAGGAUUUUGAAUCCCUCUUAAUCCCAUAAGCCACAUUCCAUGCCCAGAUGUAAUGGAGAGGUGAAUGAAAUUUAGCGAAGG